GGGCAGAUGGGAAAGUAGUUAGCCACAGUUGGGACAGUAGUUACCGGCAGUAGGGACAGUUGGGACAGUAGUUGGCGACAGUUGUCACAGUAGUUAGGGGCAGUUGAGACAGUCGUUAGCGGAAGUUGGGACAGUAGUUAGUGACAGUUGUUAGGGGCAGUUGGCACAGUAGCAAGCGGAAGAUGGACAGUAGUUGGGACAGCAGUUAGCGGCUGUCGGCACAGUAGUUAGGGGCAGUUCAGACAGUCAUUAGCAGCAGUUGUGACAGUAGUUAGGGCCAGUUGGGACAGUACUUAGGGGCAUUUGAGACAGUACUUAGCGACAGUUGGGACAAUAGUUAGGGGCAGUUGGGACAGUAGUUACUGGCAGUUGGGACAGUUGUUAGGGACAGUUGUAAGCAGUAUUUAGCUGUAGUUAGUUGUAAAACAGUAGUUAGCGGCAGUUGCGGCAGUUGGGACAGUAGUUAGGGUCAGUUGGGACAGUAGUUAGCGACAGUUGGGACAGUAGCUUGGGGCACUUGGGACAGUAGUUAGGGGCAAUUGGGACAGUAGUUAGCGACA
ensembl:lncRNA